rnacentral:rRNA from 1 species
GCUGGCGGCAGGCCUAACACAUGCAAGUCGAACGGAGUUAUAUUGUAGCUUGCUAUGGUAUAACUUAGUGGCAGACGGGUGAGUAAUGUAUAGGAAUCUACCUAGUAGUACGGAAUAAUUGUUGGAAACGGCAACUAAUACCGUAUACGCCCUACGGGGGAAAAAUUUAUUGCUAUUAGAUGAGCCUAUAUUAGAUUAGCUAGUUGGUGGAGUAAUAGCCUACCAAGGCAAUGAUCUAUAGCUGAUCUGAGAGGAUGAUCAGCCACACUGGAACUGAGAUACGGUCCAGACUCCUACGGGAGGCAGCAGUGGGGAAUAUUGGACAAUGGGCGAAAGCCUGAUCCAGCCAUGCCGCAUGAGUGAAGAAGGCCUUUGGGUUGUAAAGCUCUUUUAGUGAGGAAGAUAAUGACGGUACUCACAGAAGAAGUCCUGGCUAACUCCGUGCCAGCAGCCGCGGUAAUACGGAGAGGGCUAGCGUUAUUCGGAAUUAUUGGGCGUAAAGGGCGCGUAGGCGGAUUAGUAAGUUAAAAGUGAAAUCCCAAGGCUCAACCUUGGAAUUGCUUUUAGAACUGCUAAUCUAGAGAUUGAAAGAGGAUAGAGGAAUUCCUAGUGUAGAGGUGAAAUUCGUAAAUAUUAGGAGGAACACCAGUGGCGAAGGCGUCUAUCUGGUUCAAAUCUGACGCUGAGGCGCGAAAGCGUGGGGAGCAAACAGGAUUAGAUACCCUGGUAGUCCACGCUGUAAACGAUGAAUGUUAAUAUGGG